UACGUAGGGUGCAAGCGUUAAUCGGAAUUACUGGGCGUAAAGCGUGCGCAGGCGGUUAUGCAAGACAGAGGUGAAAUCCCCGGGCUCAACCUGGGAACUGCCUUUGUGACUGCAUAGCUAGAGUACGGUAGAGGGGGAUGGAAUUCCGCGUGUAGCAGUGAAAUGCGUAGAUAUCUGGAGGAACACCGGUGGCGAAGGCGACAUCCUGGACCGGUAUUGACGCUGAGGCGCGAAAGCCAGGGGAGCAAACGGG
rnacentral:rRNA from 1 species